UCAGACCAUAAAAACUCUGUUCGAUUGCAACUCCAGUGUACUAAAAAAAAAAUUACUCGCGAGAGAGAGAGAGAGAGAGAUGAUGGCACUUCCUCCUCAUUCCCCAUCAUCGUCACCAUCUCUUCAACGUCUCUCCACCUUCAAAAACCCACCUCCUUCCGGACCCUCACCACCGUCUUCUUCAUCUUCACCGCUAGACUCCUUCGCCAACGACCCAAUCCUCGCCCCAUUCCUCUCCCCAUCCUUCUCCUCCUCCUCCUUCUCCUCCGCCGCACUCGCCUCCGGCUCCCCCGCCUCCACCGCCGAGCGUCUCCACCAAGCCAUCCGCCUCCUCGACUCCCAGCUCCGCAGCGACGUCGUCUCCCGCCACCCCGAGCUCCUCUCCCAGCUCUCCUCCCUCUCCCACGCCGAGAUCUCCCUCUCCUCCCUCCGCUCCUCCGUCUCCUCCCUCCAAUCCUCCAUCCGCCGCAUCCGAUCCGAUCUCUCCGACCCCGUGCGAUCAAUCAGAUCCAAAUCUACUCAGCUCUCGAACCUCCACUCCGCCACCGAGCUCCUCUCUCACUCCGUCCGCGCCCUCCGCCUCUCCAAGAAGCUCCGCGAUCUAACGGACGGAUCCGAUCCGGAGAAGAUCGAUCUCACGAAAGCCGCGCAGCUCCAUUUCGAGAUCUUGACGAUGUGUAGAGAGUACGAUCUCUUCGGGAUCGACGUCAUCGACGAGGAGAUUAAGUUUGUUAACGAGAUCGGGGAGAAGCUGAGAUCUGAAGCCAUGAAGGUGUUGGAGAGAGGCGUGGAAGGGCUGAAUCAAGCCGAGGUUGGGACUGGGUUGCAGGUUUUCUAUAACCUUGGGGAGCUUAAGCUUACGGUUGAUCAAUUGGUGAACAAGUACAAAGGCAUGGCUGUGAAGAGUGUAGGCGUUGCGAUGGACAUGAAAGCGAUUUCUUCUGGGCCUGGUGGCGGUGGUUAUGGGCCGGGAGGGAUUAGGUCUAGCGGAGCGCCGCACAUUGGUGGUGGAGGUAAGGUUAGGGAGGCGCUGUGGCAGAGGAUGGGGAGUUGUAUGGAUCAGUUGUAUGCGCUUGUAAAGGCUGUGUGGCAUUUGCAGCGUGUGCUGUCGAAGAAGAGAGAUCCUUUUACGCAUGUUCUUCUUCUUGAUGAAGUCAUCAAGGAAGGUGAUUCUAUGUUAACAGACAGAGUCUGGGAUGCACUUGUGAAGGCGUUUACUAGCCAAAUGAAGUCUGCAUUCACAGCUUCGAGUUUCGUGAAAGAAAUAUUCACCAUGGGAUAUCCAAAGCUAGUGUCUAUGAUAGAAAACCUCCUUGAAAGGAUAGCUCGCGACACCGAUGUGAAAGGAGUGUUACCUGCGGUUAACUCAGAGAGGAAAGAACAAAUGGUUUCAUGCAUUGCGAUAUUCCAGACUGCUUUCUUAUCACUAUGCUUUGGAAGGUUGUCAGAUCUUGUGAACUCUAUAUUCCCUAUGUCGAGCCGUGGGAGUUUGCCUUCCAAAGAACAGAUCUCACAGGUGUUAUCACACAUUCAAGAUGAGAUCGAAGCUGUUCAUCCUGAUGGUCGUUUGACUCUUCUGGUUUUGCGUGAGAUAGGUAAGGCCCUUAGUAACCUUGCUCAACGAGCUGAGUGCCAGAUCUCUACAGGCCCUGAGACGCGUCAGAUAACAGGUCCAGCAACUUCAACACAGAUCAGGAACUUCACAUUAUGCCAGCAUCUGCAAGGAAUCCACACGCACAUCUCAUCCAUGGUAGCUGACCUUCCCAGUAUCGCCGCUGAUGUACUGUCUCCUCAUCUGGGUGCGAUAUACGCUGCGGCAUGCGAGCCGGUGACACCUUUGUUUAAAGCGAUGCGAGACCAGCUCGAGUCAUGCAUUCUUCAGAUCCACGAUCAAAACUUUGGUGUUGAUGAUGCUGCCUUGGACAACAACACUUCCCCAUACAUGGAGGAGUUGCAGAGAUCGAUUCUCCACUUCCGCAGAGAGUUCCUAUCUAGACUGUUGCCUUCCGCAGCGAGCGCGAACACCCCAGGGACAGAAUCGAUCUGCACUAGACUCGCUAGACAGAUGGCUUCGAGGGUUUUGAUCUUCUACAUCAGGCAUGCUUCCCUGGUGCGACCACUAUCAGAAUGGGGAAAACUCAGGAUGGCUAGAGACAUGGCAGAGCUGGAACUCGCGGUGGGACAGAAUCUGUUCCCUGUGGAGCAACUCGGUGCACCGUACAGAGCUCUCAGAGCAUUUAGGCCGUUGAUAUUCCUGGAAACAUCUGAAAUGGGAUCAUCUCCUCUCAUCCAGGAUCUACCACCUAGCAUCGUCCUGCAUCAUCUCUACACGAGAGGCCCAGACGACUUAGAGUCACCUAUGCAGAAGAACAGACUGAGUCCUAAGCAGUACUCGCUGUGGCUUGAUAACCAAAAAGAGGAUCAGAUCUGGAAGGGGGUUAAAGCGACUUUGGAUGAUUAUGCAGGGAAGAUCAGGUCGAGAGGGGACAAAGAGUUUAGUCCAGUUUAUCCUCUAAUGCUUCAGAUUGGUUCUUCUUUGACAGAAGGAAACGUAUAAGCUCUCCCUCAGGUUGAAUCAAUAACAUGUUUUGGGUGUCUCAAGUAGUUUUCUUUCAGUUAUUGUGACAAUACCUAUCUUUCACAUACAUGUCAUGUAAAUCCAGAUUCAGACAUCAUGACAUGGCUGGUGCCUUCUAUAUAGAGUUUUGUGCUUCGUUUAAAGAAACUCCUGCUUCUGUGUUUAUAUGUUUAGAUCAUAUUCAAGAGUUUACGCUGCAAGGAAGGGAGAUUCAUAGAUGAUAUUCACACCAAAGAGUACAACAGAGUCAUAUAUACAACAAAGUCUGCAAGACUGUAACUAUUCAGAAUCUCUCGUAAGGAGGUUCUUCUUCUACUACUACUAUCUCUCUCGGUUACAAAGGUGAACGAUGGAACAUUAAUUCCCAACGGGAAUAGAUCUCUCUCCUAAGCCGAGAGGUGAACGUGAACGUUGACGCCUCUUGGUUUCCGCGAGGACCCUUCUCAUCUCCGGUUGCUGCAGCGAUGGCUGACUUAUCUUUUCGAAUUCUUUCUUUAUCUUCACCACUUGGCUAUGUUUCGGACCAUCUUCGUUUCCAUUAUUUGGCUUGUUCUUCAUUUCCAUCACACAAAACCAGGAGACAAACAAAGAAAACCCGAGUUGUGUCUGAAAGUAGAGAAGAUAAAUCAGGCUUGGUGAGCAACGACAACUUGGUUUGGGAAGAUUAUAAUAAUACAGAGCGACGACUACUACUACUAUUUCUUGAUCUUAUCUCCCUAUGUUUAUAGACAAACGCGAAGAAUGAGACAAGGACGGCGUUCUCGGUGAGAUGUGGUUACGUGUUAGAUUGUGACGAUUCUCCUCAACACAUUUCUUCGAAAUUGACCAUUCCUUGGAUAUUUGAAACUCGAGAAAGAGUCGGUUCUUUGAACGUUGAGAGACUUAUUAAAAGGCUGCCCAUGUUGACUCAAGUCGUUGGUCAAUUAGAAGAUUCUGGUGGAUAUCCGUUUGAGACCAUUAUUGAUAAUUGUUAUGCAAACGCAUUAGACUCGUGUUCCUUUUUGGGAUUAAGUAUAAGAUGAUUACACGUUUUGUUCUUUCCUAUUUUUUUUUCCAGCUCCACAUUUGUCUAUACCAUUCUUUUGUGGAGCUUUCCUUAAUCCAGUAAUUCAAAUGAGAGUUUUAAUACUUUUACAUCAAUAAUAUAUGAGUUUUGAAUAUUAAAAGCAACUUAACUUGUUAAUAAUCAGUUAUGACUUAUAAGAGUAUGGCAAACCCUCAACUUGGAACUUCAACCACAAAAUGAUCAGCUAAGAAUCAAAGAUGCUUUUGAAUUUAAGGCGAGGUUACGAAUAAUAAUGAGUUUAUCUAUAAAAAUAUGAACACAAAGCGUUGUACUUCCACCUUAAUUAGUUUUAAGUCUUAUAAUCUAAUGUAAAAGCUCAAUAAAUAGAAACUAUAGCAUGUUUAAUUUCAGUUUGGUUAUUAUUAUUUUAUUUGUAUUCAGCCAAUGUAGAAUUCGAUUUCACACUUGAAUGGACAUAUCAAUUAAAAAUAUGAACCGAAUCAGAAUUCUGAAAAUGUGUCUACUCAACUUUCGGUGUGGUGGUGGUGGAAAAGAGAAUAAGAUUCAGAUAAAUAUCAUCAUUAUAUGAGUAAUUGAGAGAGGGAAUCAUAUCAAACAUUACACUACACGUCUUGUAUCUUGUAUAUAUAUGGAGACACAGAAAUAUUUUAAUCACGUCCUCACAUCAAAGAAAACUAAGCCAAGUAUAUUUAUAAAUAAAUAAAUAAUGCUUGACAAACUUAUCGGAGAGUACGGGCAUGGAUACGGCAAUGGGUACGGCCACAAGGAUCACAGAAGCAGCGGCUACGGCUUUGAGGAGCACAAGAAGUACGAGUCUCAUAUGGAGUCAGAAGGAGGCUACUUUGACCGUCAAGCCCGCUACGACCACCGCGUGAGGCUUCCAGCCAACCACGCCCGUCCACCCAUGGCUCACAUGCCACCCUGUGAUGAAGAAGACUCCGACUCAGAUGUAGAGGAGUUCUAUAAGAGUAGCCGAAGCCACCACACUACAGUGUUACCGCACCACGGCAAAAUCCACCACCAACAACCACCUCAUAUGAACUUCAUGCCCCCACCUCCGAUGUCUCGACCUCACCACAGUGGAAAGAUGGGUAAUGGAUGGCAGGGGAGGCAUGAAGAUGCAUACCUCGGUGGGCAUGGGAUGCAGCACCACGGUGAGCACGGGAUGCAGCACCACGGUGAGCACGGGAUGAAGCACCAGGACAGGCUUAUGGCUCCUCAGGUGUUACCACAUCAUGUCUACAUGAACCCAAACAGCGGAGGCGGCCACCACAAGGCCGGGUGGGGGAGUAAGGGCCUCUAACUGCAACCAACUACUCUACCGGUUCAAAUAAAAAGUAAUGAUUAUGUAUAAUACCAGUUAACGAAACUAUAAUUAAGAAUUAAGAUGUGUGUGUGAGGAACAUGUUUCAGUAUCCUACUAAACCUAAACAUAGGCCUUUUAGCAAAAAAUAAAGGAAGUGUUCUUGUUUGAGAAACUUAUGAUUACUAAAAGGUGUGUUGUUGUUGCUGCUUAUGUUAAAUAAAAAUGAUGCAAGUAUUAUGAAUUUA